rnacentral:rRNA from 1 species
CGGCGUGCCUAACACAUGCAAGUCGAACGAAGCAUGAUUGAAGGAGACUCGGUCAAUGGAUAUCAUGACUUAGUGGCGGACGGGUGAGUAAUACAUGAGCAACCUGCCUUUCAGAGGGGGACAACAGCUGGAAACGGCUGCUAAUACCGCAUAACGUGCGAGAGGGGCAUCCCUUUUGUACCAAAGGAGCAAUCCGCUGAAAGAUGGGCUCAUGACUGAUUAGUUAGUUGGCAGGGCAACGGCCUACCAAGACUGCGAUCAGUAGCCGGACUGAGAGGUUGAACGGCCACAUUGGGACUGAGAUACGGCCCAGACUCCUACGGGAGGCAGCAGUGGGGAAUAUUGGGCAAUGGGCGAAAGCCUCGACCCAGCAACGCCGCGUGAAGGAAGAAGGUCUUCGGAUUGUAAACUUCUUUUAUGAGGGACGAAGGACGUGACGGUACCUCAUGAAUAAGCCACGGCUAACUACGUGCCAGCCGCGGC